CUGCAAAUAUUCUUGCUGCUCUGAUUUUGCAAUAAUCAGAGCUGGCUAACAUUUACUUAAUAGGACUAUGCACACCCCACAAGAACUGGUUCUUUACCUACCUAGGUCUGAUCUUAGAUAAUGGUGAUAAAU
ensembl:snoRNA SNORA72 Small nucleolar RNA SNORA72